rnacentral:rRNA from 1 species
CAAACUUGAGAGUUUGAUCCUGGCUCAGAACGAACGCUGGCGGCAUGCCUAACACAUGCAAGUCGAACGAUGCUUUCGGGCAUAGUGGCGCACGGGUGCGUAACGCGUGGGAAUCUGCCCUUAGGUUCGGAAUAACAGUUAGAAAUGACUGCUAAUACCGGAUGAUGACGUUAAGUCCAAAGAUUUAUCGCCUGAGGAUGAGCCCGCGUAGGAUUAGCUAGUUGGUGUGGUAAAGGCGCACCAAGGCGACGAUCCUUAGCUGGUCUGAGAGGAUGAUCAGCCACACUGGGACUGAGACACGGCCCAGACUCCUACGGGA